AGGGCUGUAUUCAAAAAUUAGCAGACUAUAUUGAAGAUCAUCUACUUAUCUUGGGUUCUGUUGGCCUGGGAGUUUCAAUAUUGCAAGUAAGUAUGAAAUUAUAUUGCUUUGUCUUGAUCUCCGGUUGUCUCCAUGGGCUGGUUGUUCGAAGGCUCGAAGCUGCGUGGAUUAGCGCCCUCAGCUAAAAUUUAACCUGCUGUUUUAGGCCGCGUUUAAACUACAACGCUACAACCAACAUUCCGUUAAAAAUUUAUACUACUUUCUAGUAUUGAGACUAUAUUGUAUUUACACUAUAACGGAGUGGUUUGACGUAGCGUACUAACUACAGAUCACUACAUUUGCCACUCUGAAUACAAAUCAAUUUCGUUAAAAAUUCACUACGUUUCUUAGUAUUGUGUUUAUACUAUAACGAAGUGGUUUAAUUGCCGUUGCGUAUUAACUACGGACCACUACGUUUCUUAGUAUUGUGUUUAUACUAUAACGAAGUGGUUUAAUUGCCGUUGCGUAUUAACUACGGAUCACUACGUUUCUUAGUAUUGUGUUUAUACUAUAACGAAGUGGUUUAAUUGCCGUUGCGUAUUAACUACGGACCACUACGUUUCUUAGUAUUGUGUUUAUACUAUAACGAAGUGGUUUAAUUGCCGUUGCGUAUUAACUACGGACCACUCCGACACUCCGGAUGCAAAUCACUACGCUACGGUAAUCCCGUAUAGCGUCAUAGUGUAAACGCGGCCUUAGUUUCUGUAUUUCAGAAAAACUUCAGAAAAUAAAACUUCCGUUGAUCCAGACAAGCAUCCUGGAAAAAUAUUUCCAUGUUCACAAACAAGAUGUUGAGACGAUUGCUUUGAAGAUUUUGUUAACCCCGGAUUAAGCUACUGUAUCUGACUUUUGAACAACCCGCCCCAGAUGAUUACUCCGGUGUCGCAGUAACACUGACUGAAGCAAUAAAGCUAACUAAAUCCCCGUUUACACUACGCUCAAUUUUUGGUACGGCACGGAUAAAAUUGGUACCCGUACCACUUUUUUCGUUCUUGGACUACCUAUUUAGCUAAGCCCCGUUUACACUACACUCAAUUUUUGGUACCGUACCAUUUUUUGGUUCUUGGACUACCUAUUUAGGUAGUCCAAGAACCAAAAAAGUGGUAUACGGGUACCAAUUUUAUCCGUGCCGUACCAAAAAUUGACCGUAGUGUAAACGGGGCUUAAAUCAUCGAGUAGUAAUUUUAACUAUAAACGUUUCUUUUUUUCACAGCUUCUUGGGCUAAUCGUGACAGCUUUGCUUAUCCAUCUGGUAGAAGAAUACUAAGACAUAACCAAGAAUAACUUUAAAUGAAGUGUUUGAUAUUUUUUAGCAAGGACGAAUUUUUAUAGACUUCGUUUGCAUUGUGGACAGUAUUACAUAGAAUAUAGACGUUGAGGCAGUCGAAUCUCCCACAGGCACUGAAGUGGAAGAGCAAAGUGUCUUGAUAAGUGAGGCGGCCACCGUCACUAUACAUCACUUAAAUGCCCGUUUACACUUGUAAUGUUUGCCGUGAUUUUAGGUGCAAUUUUCUCUGGGAAGUGGAUAAGUUAUGAAUGUUGAGAAGAGGGUACAUUGUCAUACAGUGCAGUAUAACUAAUCUUCUAAUCGGAAGAACAAAAUCGCGCUAGAAAUUGCGGUAAAAAGUUGCAAGGAUAAACUGGCCUUAAGACGUCACUGGCUGUUUUUGUCUCCUUUAACUGAAAUUAAAGAAAAGAACAUGCGCAAACCCACUCAUCAGCCAGUGUGUGCUGUACACGGUCUGUAUCGAAGGUCGUGGCAAAAUGUUGCGCCGUUGUCCGUGUUAGAGAGGGUUUCGUAUUGUAAAGGUUUAUUUCAGUGCGGACACGUCGCGAAAUACUGCUGGCGCGAAUUUUGGUUGGCAACAUAUGACCACUUUUCACUAGCUUGAUAACCUGUUCGCAGGCUAACUUUUCACUUUUGGCUGCAAACCUUACUUCUUUAAACUUUUUCAGAUUUCAUGCAAUAUUUAGCUUCAUUUCUUGCAUACCAAUGCUUUCAUGAAGAUUGAAAAACUAUUGUUGCAACUUUGUUACACAGUUAUUGAGCUAUCAUUCAAUGACAGUUGUCCACCGCCCUGGCCCACCUAGCGUCCGCUCUGACCCACCUAGCGUCCGCCCUGACCUAUCUAGCGUUCGCACUGGUAAUAGACAGGUGUUAGAGAUGUAUGUCUGUAUUAGGGGCUGUUCAUAUGAAGCCGGGCUGGCCCGAUUAACUGGAAUGAUUCGUUUAAUAAAGCUCUUAUCACGGCUUUGAUAAUUAUCUAAAAUGACGUUUCAAAGUUGAAUUAGCUUCGUUUGAUUCCAGUAACAGUAUAAAGAUCAUUCAAACGAUUUUUAUUGUCAGGAAGAAGUUCGUGACACGAUUAAUCCCGAUUAGCCGGAUGGCCUGGUUCAUAUGAACAACCCUUAGAGAUGUCAGAUGCGUCUGUAAGCAGAGGUCUGUAAGGAGAGAUUCGACUGUGAUAAUAUUGUAAGAAAUGAUAAAAAUCUCCUGCAAAUGUAGGCACCAGCACAGCCUGUUUUCCGCUAGUAGGUGACUUUGUUCGCGCGAAGCGACUUUUUCCUUUGCACUGACAAAGGUUUUAAAAACUGGGUUCGGCAAAAAUUGCCCUAGCGGAAAAGGGUUAUAUGGCUUAGACGCAGGAUACGCCCGAAUAAAACCACUUUCGCUUGCAGUCAUAUAAUGUGAUAGAGUUAUUGAAAUGUAGCAAAUGAAAUGUGAAGUUGUAUUCAGUUUGUAAUUAUAUUUCAGUUCUUGUUGUA